GUGGUGGUUACAAUGAAGACAAUUUUACGUAACUGUGUUGAAUAUAAUAGCCAUCUUAACCGGUAUAUUAUAAAAGAAAUAUUUUAUGAACUUGGUCCUUGACACCUUGAAAGUAGCUUGUGAUCGAGGUUCUCUUAUUAGGAUUAUACGUGACGGUGCAUACGGAUCUUUUGUUGUGCACCACAUUAUGCGGUGCACAACGCACUUCAUCCAUCGCAUGAUGGAUGGCCGUACAUGACUACGUGCAAUGGAUGUGCAUCUGCGUACAGUCAUCCAUCACGCAAUGGACAGUAUGCUGUACACCGCAUAUUGCACGUUACCGUGCAUGACCGUCCAUCGAUGGAUGGGAUGCACUGUACGGUGCACAGCAGAGAAUCUACUCAUGCUUCGUGAGGAUUCUUCUAAUUCCCAUUUAGCAGUAAGGUUGGCGUC
rnacentral:lncRNA from 1 species